UAACUGAAGAGUUUGAUCAUGGCUCAGAUUGAACGCUGGCGGCAGGCCUAACACAUGCAAGUCGGGCGGUAACAGGGAGAAGCUUGCUUCUCUGCUGACGAGCGGCGGACGGGUGAGUAAUGUAUGGGGAUCUGCCUGAUGGCGGGGGAUAACUACUGGAAACGGUAGCUAAUACCGCAUAAUGUCUACGGACCAAAGCGGGGGACCU
rnacentral:rRNA from 1 species